rnacentral:rRNA from 1 species
GAUGAACGCUGGCGGCGUGCCUAACACAUGCAAGUCGAGCGAACAGACGAGGAUUUUGCUCCUCUUACGUUAGCGGCGGAUGGGUGAGUAACACGUGGAUAACCUACCUUUAAGACUGGGAUAACUUCGGGAAACCGGAGCUAAUACCGGAUAAUAUAUUGAACCGCAUGGUUCUAUAGUGAAAGACGGUUUUGCUGUCACUUAUAGAUGGUUCCGCGCCGCAUUAGCUAGUUGGUAAGGUAACGGCUUACCAAGGCAACGAUGCGUAGCCGACCUGAGAGGGUGAUCGGCCACACUGGAACUGAGACACGGUCCAGACUCCUACGGGAGGCAGCAGUAGGGAAUCUUCCGCAAUGGGCGAAAGCUUGACGGAGCAACGCCGCGUGAGUGAUGAAGGUCUUCGGAUCGUAAAACUCUGUUAUUAGGGAAGAACAAAUGUGUAAGUAACUAUGCACGUCUUGACGGUACCUAAACAGAAAGCAACGGCUAACUACGUG